GGAUGUGAGGGAGAUCUGGCUGGGAUAUGUCACCCCACUGAUCCCCAGGGUAGAUUUGCCUGAUCUGGCUGGGUGAGGUGGGUGUCCCCUUCCUCCCUCACCGCCCCAUGUGCGUCCCUCCCGAAGCUGCGCGCUCGGUCGAAGAGGACGACCUUCCCCGAUAGAGAAGCUGCCCGCUCAGUUGCUCAGCCAUAGAGGAUGACCUUUGCCAACAGAGGAAGACUGUUCUUCCAUCAAGGAUAUAUGAGUAGCUGUGCUCUCCUGCUAGGACCUCCACACAGGCUUUCAAAAGUCAACUGAUCGUUCAUAAAAGGGAAACACCACUGAUAAUUUGUAAAAUGGAAACACAUUUGAAAACUAGCAACUCACAUUCUUAUGUUUGUUUAUAUU
rnacentral:snRNA from 1 species